AUUGAACGCUGGCGGCAUGCUUUACACAUGCAAGUCGAACGGCAGCGCGGGCUUCGGCCUGGCGGCGAGUGGCGAACGGGUGAGUAAUACAUCGGAACGUGCCCGGUAGUGGGGGAUAGCUCGGCGAAAGCCGGAUUAAUACCGCAUACGACCUGAGGGUGAAGGCGGGGGAUCUUCGGACCUCGCGCUAUUGGAGCGGCCGAUGGCAGAUUGGCUAGUUGGUGGGGUAAAGGCCUACCAAGGCGACGAUCUGUAGCUGGUCUGAGAGGACGACCAGCCACACUGGGACUGAGACACGGCCCAGACUCCUACGGGAGGCAGCAGUGGGGAAUUUUGGACAAUGGGCGAAAGCCUGAUCCAGCAAUGCCGCGUGUGUGAUGAAGGCCUUCGGGUUGUAAAGCACUUUUGGCGGGAACGAAAAGGACUGUGCCAAUACCACGGUUCGAUGACGGUACCCGCAGAAUAAGCACCGGCUAACUACGUG
rnacentral:rRNA from 1 species